UACGUAGGGUGCGAGCGUUAAUCGGAAUUACUGGGCGUAAAGCGUGCGCAGGCGGUUCGUUGUGUCGGUGGUGAAAGCCCCGGGCUUAACCUGGGAAUGGCCGUCGAAACUGGCGAACUGGAGUGUGGCAGAGGGGGGUGGAAUUCCGCGUGUAGCAGUGAAAUGCGUAGAGAUGUGGAGGAAUACCGAUGGCGAAGGCAGCCCCCUGGGAUAACACUGACGCUCAUGCACGAAAGCGUGGGGAGCAAACAGG
rnacentral:rRNA from 1 species